rnacentral:rRNA from 1 species
UACGUAGGGGGCAAGCGUUGUCCGGAUUUAUUGGGCGUAAAGAGCGUGUAGGCGGCCAGGUAGGUCCGUUGUGAAAACUCGAGGCUCAACCUCGAGACGCCGAUGGAAACCAUCUGGCUAGAGUCCGGAAGAGGAUAGUGGAAUUCCCGGUGUAGCGGUGAAAUGCGUAGAGAUGUGGAGGAACACCAGUGGCGAAGGCGACUCUUUGGUCUGUAACUGACGCUGAGGCGCGAAAGCGUGGGGAGCAAACAGG